rnacentral:rRNA from 1 species
AACCUUCCACAAUGGACGCAAGUCUGAUGGAGCAACGCCGCGUGAGCGAAGAAGGUUUUCGGAUCGUAAAGCUCUGUUGCGAGGAAAGAACAAGUACGGGAGUAACUGCCCGUACCUUGACGGUACCUCGUCAGAAAGCCCCUGCUAACUACGUGCCAGCCGCCACGGUAAUACGUAGGUGGCAAGCGUUGUCCGGAAUUAUUGGGCGUAAAGCGCGGGCAGGCGGUCCUUUAAGUCUGAUGUGAAAGCCCACGGCUCAACCGUGGAGGGUCAUUGGAAACUGGAGGACUUGAGUACAGAAGAGGAAAGCGGAAUUCCACGUGUAGCGGUGAAAUGCGUAGAGAUGUGGAGGAACACCAGUGGCGAAGGCGGCUUUCUGGUCUGUAACUGACGCUGAGGCGCGAAAGCGUGGGGAGCAAACA